AUUGAACGCUGGCGGCAGGCUUAACACAUGCAAGUCGAGCGGGGGAAGGUAGCUUGCUACCGGACCUAGCGGCGGACGGGUGAGUAAUGCUUAGGAAUCUGCCUAUUAGUGGGGGACAACAUCUCGAAAGGGAUGCUAAUACCGCAUACGUCCUACGGGAGAAAGCAGGGGAUCUUCGGACCUUGCGCUAAUAGAUGAGCCCAGGUCGGAUUAGCUAGUUGGUGGGGUAAAGGCCUACCAAGCCGACGAUCUGUAGCGGGUCUGAGAGGAUGAUCCGCCACACUGGGACUGAGACACGGCCCAGACUCCUACGGGAGGCAGCAGUGGGGAAUAUUGGACAAUGGGGGGAACCCUGAUCCAGCCAUGCCGCGUGCGUGAAGAAGGCCUUAUGGUUGUAAAGCACUUUAAGCGAGGAGGAGGCUACUCUAGUUAAUACCUAGGGAUAGUGGACGUUACUCGCAGAAUAAGCACCGGCUAACUCUGUGCCAGCAGCCGCGGUAA
rnacentral:rRNA from 1 species